UAUAAAGCCUUUUUCAACUUACAAACAUAGUUCUGGUACUCCCCCUGAGCAACAAACCCAGGUGGUUGCUCCAUAUAGACCUCUUCGUGCAAAUCACCAUGAAGGAAGGCAUUUUUAAUAACCAACUGGAACAAUGGCCAAUCAAGGUUAGCAGCAAUAGAAAUCAAAACUCGAAUAGAUGAGAUCUUAGCAACCGGAGAGAACGUCUCAUCAUAAUCAACACCAUAGGUUUGUGUGUAGCCCUUAGCAACCAAUCGAGCUUUCAACCGAUCAACAGUCCCAUCAGGAUUGAACUUCGGAAUAUAAACCCAUCUAUUACCAACGAGGCGAAUACCAGGUGGUGAAGGAACAAGGUCCCAAGUCUGAUUCUCGUGUAAGGCUGCCAUUUCCAAUUCCAUAGCCUUUCGCCACUCAGGAUGAGAUAAAGCUUCUGUCACUGUCUUAGGUACAAAAACACCAGAAAGUUGGGAUGUGAAACAAGAAAAUGAAGGUGACAAUGAAUCAAGAGUGACAUAGUGGCUAAUAGGAUAUUUAGUUACACAAGUACGUUUACCUUUGCGGAGAGCAAUGGGCAAGGAUUCAGUAUCGGAACAGACGACACAAGUAGGAUCUGAAGACGGCAAGGCGCUGGAUGGGGCCACGGGUGGUGGUGUCUUAGAUCGUCUGGUAUAAACCUGUAAAGUAGGAGGUGGGUCCUUAUGAGAAGAUGGGGACCCUGGUAUAGUAGACGAAGACGAGACUGGUUCUGGAGUAAUGCCAACUGGUAGAUAUGGAACUGGUAAGCUAACGGGAUCCCGAGUAGAUUUGGG
rnacentral:lncRNA from 1 species